UUCCCUGUGUCCAUGUGUUCUCAUUUUUCCUCACCCGCCUAUGAGUGAGAAUAUGUGGUAUUUCAUUUUCUGUUCUUGUGUCAGUUUGCUGAGGAUGAUGUUAUCCAGAUUCAUCCAUUUCUUUACAAAGGAUGUGAACUCAUCAUUUUUGAUUGCUGCAUAGUAUUCCAUGGUGUAUAUGUGCCACAUUUUCCCAGUCCAGUCUAUCAUCAAUGGGCAUUUGGGUUGGUUCCAGGUCUUUGCUAUUGUAAACAGUGCUGCAAUGAACAUUCGUGUGCAUGUGUCCUUAUAGUAGAGAUGGGGUUUCACCAUGUUGACCAGCAUGGUCUCGAUCUCUUGACCUCAUGAUUCACCUGCCUCGGCCUCCCAAAGUGCUGGGAUUACAGGCGUGAGCCACCACGCCCAGCCAGAUUCUGCUUUUAAAGAGAUUUUCAGGCUAAGACUCCCAAGUUCUUCAGAUAUACUGAAUUUUCUUCAGCUGAUUUGAUAGUUAUUUAGUUUUAUUUUUUGUUAACUUUAUUAAAAUGGAUGCUUUUGUCAUCAAUUUGUGUAUCUAUAACUGCCAUCCUCACCCUUCCCAAAAAAAUAGGUAACUUAACAUGACCUCACUAUUCUCUGGUCACUCCGUUUCUGGCCAUUUUAAUAUCACAUAGAAUUUUAGUUUGAAAUUAUACUAAUUAGAUGUAUCUUCUUUCUCUUCCUGAUUCUUGAAUUUUGAUAGGAAAUCAAACUUUACUCCUUGUAUAUCUUAGCAUCCUCCAAGAGAGAUUUCUCUUUAUCCUAGAAAUAUUUGUCCAAGGGUGUCUUAAAGAUAAUCUAUGUUACAGAUUUUUUUCAGCCAUAUAUCACUGAGAAUAUCAUAAAACACCAAUUUCAAAGAACUUUUCCUUGAACACUUUGUGUUAGCCAGGAAUACAAAUAUUAUUAUAUUGUCUUAUUCCACCUAGGGUAGCUGUUGAGAGAUUUGGCAAUGAUAGUUAACACUUAACAGAAUGUUUAGUAUGUAUAAGGGAGUGUUCUAAUAAUUUACAGAUAUUAACUCAUUUAGUGUCCAUGAUGGCAAUUUCAUUCUUCUUCCUUUGUAGUUAGAAUCCCCUAUUCCAUUGUCCCCCCAAGGCCAUUUUGAAAGCUUGUAGACUUUUUAUUUCCUUCUUGAUGGUCUUAUAUGUUAGUUUAUUGAGCAUAGGUGUGAUUUCAUUUUUUCAUCUAUUCUAUUUUACCAGUUCCUGAGUCUUUUUAAUCUAAGG
rnacentral:lncRNA from 1 species